rnacentral:rRNA from 1 species
GUGUCAGCCGCCGCGGUAAUACAGGGGGGGCAAGCGUUGUUCGGAAUUACUGGGCGUAAAGGGCGUGUAGGCGGCCAACUAAGUCCGACGUGAAAUCCCCAGGCUUAACCUGGGAACUGCGUCGGAUACUGGAUGGCUUGAAUCCGGGAGAGGAAUGCGGAAUUCCAGGUGUAGCGGUGAAAUGCGUAGAUAUCUGGAGGAACACCGGUGGCGAAGGCGGCAUUCUGGACCGGCAUUGACGCUGAAGCGCGAAAGCCAGGGGAGCAAACGGGAUUAGAUACCCGUGUAGUCC